rnacentral:rRNA from 1 species
AGUGAACGCUGGCGGUAGGCCUAACACAUGCAAGUCGAACGGCAGCACAGUAAGAGCUUGCUCUUACGGGUGGCGAGUGGCGGACGGGUGAGGAAUACGUCGGAAUCUACUUUUUCGUGGGGGAUAACGUAGGGAAACUUACGCUAAUACCGCAUACGCCCUACGGGUGAAAGCAGGGGAUCUUCGGACCUUGCGCGAGUGAAUGAGCCGAUGUCGGAUUAGCUAGUUGGCGGGGUAAAGGCCCACCAAGGCGACGAUCCGUAGCUGGUCUGAGAGGAUGAUCAGCCACACUGUAACUGAGACACGGUCCAGACUCCUACGGGAGGCAGCAGUGGGGAAUAUUGGACAAUGGGCGCAAGCCUGAUCCAGCCAUACCGCGUGGGUGAAGAAGGCCUUCGGGUUGUAAAGCCCUUUUGUUGGGAAAGAAAAGCAGCAGGUUAAUACCCCACUGUUCUGACGGUACCCAAAGAAUAAGCACCGGCUAACUUCGUG